CUGAAGCUCAAGAAGUUGUCCCAGAAAAGAAAGUUCCUAAGGCUCCUCCCACAAAACCAGAAGCCCCACCUGCCACAGUGCCUGAAGUCCCACAAGAAAUUGUGCCAGAAAAGAAAACACUGGUGCUUCCUAAAAAGCCAGAAGUUCCACCUGUUACAGUGCCAGAGGCUCCCAAAGAAGUUGUCCUUGAAAAGAAAGUGCCCUUGGCUCCUCCUAAAAAGCCUGAAGUCCCACCUGUUAAAGUGCCAGAGGCUCCCAAAGAAGUUGUUCCUGAAAAGAAAGUGCCAGUGACUCCUCCUAAAAAACCUGAAGUCCCACCUGUUAAAGUGCCAGAGGCUCCCAUAGAGGUUGUUCCUGAAAAGAAAAUGCCCUUGGCUCCUCCUAAAAAGCCUGAAGUCCCUCCUGUUAAAGUACCAGAGGCUCCCAAAGAGGUUGUUCCUGAAAAGAAAGUGCCCUCGGCUCCUCCUAAAAAGCCUGAAGUCCCACCUGUUAAAGUGCCAGAGGCUCCGAAAGAAGUUGUUCCUGAAAAGAAAGUGCCAGCGGCUCCUCCUAAAAAGCCUGAAGUCACACCUGUUAAAGUGCCUGAGGCUCCCAAAGAAGUUGUUCCUGAAAAGAAAGUGCCAGUGCCUCCUCCUAAAAAGCCUGAAGUGCCACCCACAAAAGAGGUGCCAAAGGUAGCUGUCCCAGAAAAGAAGGUGCCUGAAGCUAUUCCUCCCAAACCGGAAAGUCCUCCCCCUGAAGUGUUCGAGGAGCCUGAGGAAGUUGCCCUAGAAGAGCCUCCUGCUGAAGUUGUGGAAGAGCCAGAGCCAGCGGCGCCUCCACAAGUGACCGUACCACCUAAGAAACCUGUCCCAGAAAAGAAAGCACCUGCUGUCGUUGCCAAAAAACCUGAACUACCACCAGUGAAAGUGCCCGAGGUGCCCAAGGAGGUUGUUCCUGAAAAGAAGGUGCCUCUGGUGGUUCCCAAAAAGCCAGAAGCCCCACCUGCUAAAGUGCCUGAAGUUCCAAAAGAAGUUGUUCCAGAAAAGAAAGUAGCUGUUCCCAAAAAGCCAGAAGUCCCACCAGCAAAAGUGCCAGAAGUGCCAAAGAAACCUGUCUUGGAAGAGAAACCAGCUGUUCCUGUUCCAGAAAGAGCGGAGUCUCCUCCCCCAGAAGUAUAUGAAGAACCUGAGGAAAUUGCUCCUGAAGAGGAAAUUGCUCCUGAAGAGGAAAAGCCAGUUCCUGUUGCAGAAGAGGAGGAACCAGAGGUUCCACCUCCAGCAGUGCCUGAAGAGCCCAAGAAGAUCAUCCCAGAGAAGAAAGUUCCUGUCAUCAAAAAACCAGAAGCACCGCCUCCUAAAGAACCUGAGAUGCCAAAGAAAGUUGUUCCAGUGAAGAAGGUCCCAACUGUUAAGAAGCCAGAAACACCAGCAGCUAAAGUGCCUGAGGUGCCCAAGAAACUUGUUCCAGUAAAGAAAGAACCUGUGCCUGUUACCAAAAAACCAGAAGUUCUUCCAGAAAAAGUGCCCAAAGUGCCUGAGAAAAUCAUCCCAGAAAAGGAAGUGUCUGUGCCUAUCCCUGCAGAGCCAGAAGUUCCACCUGCUGAAGUUGAAGAGACUCCUGAGGAAAUAAUAUAUGAAG
rnacentral:lncRNA from 1 species